rnacentral:rRNA from 1 species
AACUCCAUAUCGGCGGUGGAAACUGAUGAACUAGAGGGUGGUAAGGGUCACGGGAAUUCCCAGUGUAGCGGUGAAAUGCGUAGAUAUUGGGAAGAACACCAGCGGCGAAAGCGCGUGACUGGGCCAUUACUGACACUCAUGGACGAAAGCUAGGGGAGCGAAAGGGAUUAGAUACCCCUGUAGUCCUAGCCGUAAACGAUGGACACUAGGUGUUGCCCGAUCGACCCGGGCAGUGCCGUAGCUAACGCGUUAAGUGUCCCGCCUGGGGAGUACGCACGCAAGUGUGAAACUCAAAGGAAUUGACGGGGGCCCGCACAAGCGGUGGAGUAUGUGGUUUAAUUCGAUGCAACGCGAAGAACCUUACCAGGGCUUGACAUGUCGCGAAUCCCCUUGAAAGGGGGGAGUGCCUUCGGGAGCGCGAGCACAGGUGGUGCAUGGCUGUCGUCAGCUCGUGUCGUGAGAUGUUGGGUUAAGUCCCGCAACGAGCGCAACCCACGUUUCUAGUUGCCAGCAUUCAGUUGGGCACUUUAGAGAGACUGCCGGUGACAAACCGGAGGAAGGUGUGGAUGACGUCAAGUCAGCAUGCCCCUUACGUCCUGGGCUACACACGUACUACAAUGCUUCGGACAGAGGGUUGCCAGCCCGCGAGGGUGCGCUAAUCCCGUAAACCGAGGCUCAGUUCAGAUUGCAGGCUGCAACUCGCCUGCAUGAAGGCGGAAUCGCUAGUAAUCGCCGGUCAGCAUACGGCGGUGAAUACGUUCCCGGGCCUUGUACACACCGCCCGUCACACCAUGGGAGUUGGCCACGCCCGAAGUUGUUACCCUAA